AUCCUUUUGCAGCACGUGAGCGUGAUGAUCGGGUGUUCACACUGUCGUGUGACAUGUGCCUCCCUCAAACCUUGUUGUGACGUUGGCACGCUUACCCGUCUGACG
rnacentral:snoRNA from 1 species